CAGCAGUGGUCUAGCUGUCCUCUAAGCACCUCCUCGCUCUGCCAGUCUGGCCUAUAGCUCUCAGGGGGAAAGGAAUGCCAGCUUCUAGCAGGAAGUGCAACUCUUGGCAGCCUCUGCUAUUUUCUGUGGGGAGAUGAUUCCUCCUGACCCCAGAGGGCUAGUGAGUUUUUUGUACCUGUGACGUUGGUCAAGGACGACUCCUGUCUCAGUCUCUUUAAGGACUCCUCCCACACCUGCCCACUGCGAAUAGCUACUCGGGUUCGGCCUUUGGCUUGCUUGAGGUACUGUGAGAGAUGUCGGGUGGUGGGAGUCUCAGAGCUCAGGGAGGACUUCAGCCUACAAUGGAGAGCAACAGGGGAUCAUGUAGAAGGAAGUUGGUGGCCCAUUGGAGGAGCAUGGAGAUGAGAGGAGGAAGCUACUGUGGUCUUUAGAUUGUGAACUUGCCCUCCCUUCCCCCAGCUCAGCCGCCAAGGAGGAGGAAGAGGCCUCCCUGAGAGACCUCCCCUUCAGAAUUACCUACAAGCAAAUCCAGGCCUUGGUUCUGCUCCUGGGGAACCUGACCCAAAUUAGUCCAUAUUCAUUAAAUGAAUGAAGAUCUUCUGGCUAGGCCCAGUGGCUCUAGCCAGGCAUGGUGGCACGUGCUUAUAAUCCCAGCUACUCAGGAGGCUGAGGCAGGAGGACUGCAAGUUAGAGGCCCACCUGGGCAAUUUAGCAAGACCCUGUCUCAAAGUAAAAUGAAAAGCAUUGGGGAUGUAGCUCAGAGGUAGACUGCUCCUGGAUUCUAUCUUCAGUACUGCAAAUAAAACAAAGCAACAAAAA